rnacentral:rRNA from 1 species
CUUAAAUUGACUGAGCGGCGCACGGGUGAGUAACACGUAUCCAACCUGCCUCAUACUCGGGGAUAGCCUUUCGAAAGAAAGAUUAAUAUCCGAUAGCAUAUAUUUCCCGCAUGGGUUUUAUAUUAAAGAAAUUCGGUAUGAGAUGGGGAUGCGUUCCAUUAGUUUGUUGGGGGGGUAACGGCCCACCAAGACUACGAUGGAUAGGGGUUCUGAGAGGAAGGUCCCCCACAUUGGAACUGAGACACGGUCCAA